rnacentral:rRNA from 1 species
AGGUGCGGGGGUCUUUGGGCCCAACCUCCCAUCCGUGUCUAUUAUACCCUGUUGCUUCGGCGGGCCCGCCGCUUGUCGGCCGCCGGGGGGGCGCCUUUGCCCCCCGGGCCCGUGCCCGCCGGAGACCCCAACACGAACACUGUCUGAAAGCGUGCAGUCUGAGUUGAUUGAAUGCAAUCAGUUAAAACUUUCAACAAUGGAUCUCUUGGUUCCGGCAUCGAUGAAGAACGCAGCGAAAUGCGAUAACUAAUGUGAAUUGCAGAAUUCAGUGAAUCAUCGAGUCUUUGAACGCACAUUGCGCCCCCUGGUAUUCCGGGGGGCAUGCCUGUCCGAGCGUCAUUGCUGCCCUCAAGCCCGGCUUGUGUGUUGGGUCGCCGUCCCCCUCUCCGGGGGGACGGGCCCGAAAGGCAGCGGCGGCACCGCGUCCGAUCCUCGAGCGUAUGGGGCUUUGUCACAUGCUCUGUAGGAUUGGCCGGCGCCUGCCGACGUUUUCCAACCAUUUUUUCCAGGUUGACCUCGGAUCAGGUAGGGAUACCCGCUGAACUUAAGCAUAUCAAAAGCCGGAAGAAA